AGAAAUUCAACCCUCCGCAGGGCGAGAUGAUCACAAGUAACACAGGUAGCCACUGCCUAAUUCCUACUCCUUAUGGCAGUUGCUCAUUCAGCACACAUCAGCAGCUGCUGGGACCAGGAACUGUUCUUGCACUAGGGAUGAAGGAGUGCAUCAUCCACAGGAGGCCAAAGAUCCCUGUAUCUUAGCUCAAAUGCCAGUGUGGAAGAUGGGCCACGGGUACUAAACAUAGUCAUGAAGUAAGCUGUACUUGAAGGCUUUAAACAGGAGCUGGGGAGACGGCUCGCUGGGUAAAGAAGUUGCUGUGUAAGCAAAAGAACCUGAAUUCAGAUCCCCAGAACCCGUGCUGAGGGCUUGGGGUUGAGGGCUGUGGUCUAGGUAUAGUAUGUGCCUGCAAGCCAAGUGCUGGGAAGACAGAGACAGGAGGAUUCCUGAGGUUUUCCUGGCCAGACAAUCUUCUAAGCGCCAACGUCAAUGAGAGAUCAUGACUUCAGAGAGAAGGGAAGAGAAGACUCAGUGUUGAAGAUCACAUGUUGCUCUUUCAGAGGGCAAGUCAGGCUGUUCCUAACCACCUUCAAAAUGAGUGACACCUUCUUCUGGGCCUCUUUGGAUAUCUGCACAUACAUGGCACACAUGCAUACAUGCACACACAGGCACACACAGGCACACACGCAGAGAAAGGCAUAAGUCAAUAAUAAGCCUUUGAAAAAUGCAAGAUGGAGAGUAUUAAGAAGGACACCAAAUAUCCACCUCUGGUCUACACAGCAGUGUGAGUGUGCAUGCGCAUACAUACACUCUCACACACACACAUACACACACACUCACAUAUACUCACUAACUCACUCUCAUAUACAUGGACACAGACACACAAACACAUUUAUUGCAUGCAUGCAUGUAUGUAUGCAUGGAUAAUGAAAGUGAUAAUAUCCAAAAGAAAGCAUACAAAUAGAAUAAAAGUGUCUUGGAGUAUGUGCUGCGCAGACAGUAUGAAUUGGAUGGAGUAUGUAUGGGGCAGUGUGUGGGCAGCUGGCACCAAUCCAUAAAAAGACCCUCUCCCCUACACACACACACACACACACACACACACACACACACACACCCCAAGUAUAUGUCUAUUUUAAGGUAGAAGCUAACUGCUUCUCAAGGGGGUUAAGUACCUUGCCCCAGAUCAAACAGCUGGGAAGACCGAAAGUUGCUUACUCAAACAUAUUUUUAUUCUCCCCUGCUGCCGCUCUGCUCCGUGGGCUCCCCACUCCACUGUUUCUGUGCUUUCUACCAGGGAUAGAUUCUGCCCAAAUGAUCGGUUUCAAGAUGGUGUUGUGCAGAUGUUUGAUUGGAUGUGGGGGUUUUGUAGGCCACUCAGGGUUCCAGUACCAGACAUAGUUCAUUGCUGUAGUUAUAACCUUGGGAAUAGCAGCUUAUAAUAACUGGAAAUUAGACAUGCAUGAGAGGCUAGGAAGGUCUGGAUGAAAAUGCUAAGAGGAAGAAAGUAGGUUAGAGGGCAGGGCUGCAGCACAGGUGAAGGGGAUAAUUACUUAACAAGGGAACCAUGCCCAGGGUUGGUGCUGAGGGCAGUAAAUAACUCGUGUGCACCAUGAAUCGAGGAGAGCCAGUGCUAGGGAGUCUUACACGCAGAGCCUCACACAGGCCUUGGAUUUGGUCUGUGGCUUAGGGAAUAAUCAUUGUGAUGGCAUGAGAAUCCAAACCUGGGUCCUCCUCUUUCCCACUGGGGCAAAGAAUAAGGAGAUUCAAAAGAAAAGGCAGCAAAAGAACAAAGAGGACUGUGUGCACGCUGAAUUCUUACCGGGACGUAGGCUGACUUCUUUUUGUUCAUUUGUGUUUUGAUUUUCCUUGUUGAGACUUACUAUGUAGCCCUGGCUGGCCUAGAACUUGCUCAUUACCCAGGCUAUCCCCAAACUCAACUCUAUCUUCCUCUUGCCCCAGCUUCCUGAGUACUGGGAUUCAAGGCAUCUAUGACUGUGCCUGGCUACAAACCAAGUUCUAACAAAGAUAAUAAUAAUAAUAAUAACAACAAGGACAAUAAUAAAAGCAGGUCUCUGGCUGAACUUUGUCCUACACUUUCUGUGUCCCUGAAGAUGACCUUGAGUCCCUCCCACAUCCCAGAGUGACAGACGAGUGUGCCACUAUACAUGUUUAUGCAGUAUUGGGAAUGGAACCCAAGAUAACUUGCAUACUAGGCAAGCACUCUUGAAACAGAUCUACAUCUCAAAUCCCUCUCCUCGAGUUCCAAUGUACGGACUCUUGCUAGGGGAGUAUUAAGCUUCAUUUCCACACCUGAUUUUUAGCUUUCUGGUACACACUUCCCCUUGCUGGUGAUGAUUUCAAACAACUUGUGUUGUCAUUAAUGGUAUU
rnacentral:lncRNA from 1 species